AUACGUAGGGAGCGAGCGUUGUCCGGAAUUACUGGGUGUAAAGGGAGCGUAGGCGGGAGCUUAAGUCAGCGGUUAAAUGGUGCGGCUCAACCGUGCCCUGCCGUUGGACCUGGGUUUCUUGAGAGUGCAAGAGGCGGAUGGAAUUCAUGGUGUAGCGGGGGAAUGCUUAGAUAUCAUGAAGAACUCCGAUUGCGAAGGCAGUCCGCUGGGGCACGUCUGACGCAGAUGCUCGAAGGUGCGGGAAUCAAACAGGAUUAGAUACCCUGGUAGUCCGCACGGUAAACGAUGAUUACCCGCUGUCGGCGGCAGACAGUCGGCGGCCAAGCGAAAGCGAUAAGUAAUCCACCUGGGGAGUACGCCGGCAACGGUGAAACUCAAAGGAAUUGGCGGGG
rnacentral:rRNA from 1 species